rnacentral:rRNA from 1 species
GAUGAACGCUGGCGGCGUGCCUAAUACAUGCAAGUCGAGCGAACAGACGAGGAGCUUGCUCCUCUGACGUUAGCGGCGGACGGGUGAGUAACACGUGGAUAACCUACCUAUAAGACUGGGAUAACUUCGGGAAACCGGAGCUAAUACCGGAUAAUAUAUUGAACCGCAUGGUUCAAUAGUGAAAGACGGUUUUGCUGUCACUUAUAGAUGGAUCCGCGCCGCAUUAGCUAGUUGGUAAGGUAACGGCUUACCAAGGCAACGAUGCGUAGCCGACCUGAGAGGGUGAUCGGCCACACUAGAGCGUAGACACGGUCCAGACUCCUACGGGAGGCAGCAGUAGGGAAUCUUCCGCAAUGGGCGAAAGCCUGACGGAGCAACGCCGCGUGAGUGAUGAAGGUCUUCGGAUCGUAAAACUCUGUUAUUAGGGAAGAACAAAUGUGUAAGUAACUAUGCACGUCUUGACGGUACCUAAUCAGAAAGCCACGGCUAACUACGUG